rnacentral:rRNA from 1 species
UCGAGAAUUUUUCACAAUGGGCGAAAGCCUGAUGGAGCGACGCCGCGUGGGGGAUGAAUGGCUUCGGCCCGUAAACCCCUGUCAUUCGCGAUCAACCCUUAUUAUUUAAAAGAUGAUAAGCUGAUAGUAGCGGAAGAGGAAGGGACGGCUAACUCUGUGCCAGCAGCCGCGGUAAUACAGAGGUCCCAAGCGUUGUUCGGAUUCACUGGGCGUAACGGGUGCGUAGGUGGUGACGUACGUCGGAUGUGAAAUCUCGGAGCUCAACUCCGAAAUGGCAGUGGAA